AGCCCAGACUAGGUCACUGACACACAGGAACAGGAGUAAACAUUUCCCAAGCUCAAUGUUCAGGGGCCUUGGCCCAGAGCUGAGUGGAUGGAGGAUAGGAUGUGCCCCUGCCCCUGAGAUCCAACCCCCACCCCGAGUGCUGCUGGGUGGCUACUGGUAGCAAUUACAGUAUUAGCUUCUGGUACCAAUUAUGAUGCCCCAUAACUGCUUAUUUUUCUGAAGCACGACUUGGAGCAACCUAGAUGGGGGCACCCUGCUGUGCAUAAAUGGGAAGACAAGUACCCCAGAUGAUCCUCCGGGCAGAUGCCACCUAAGGGAGCCCAAUCUUUGCAGAGCCCAGCCAAUCUUUGCAGAUGCCCACGAUGCUGACUGAAAGGACUUUUGAGGAUGCUUCAGAAAACAUUUCAGGAGUGGGCUGUCAAUCACACCCACACUCUAUGAAUAUGAGAAGAACAGACUGUGGCAAAGGAGAAGCUAAGAUGGGCCAGUGAGUUUCUCAACCACACGCCCACACUCCUCUCCAGAAGUCAGCAGCCUCCUGUCCAGUGCAGGAGAGUCCACCGUCCUCCACACCAUCCUAUGGAAAGGCAGGCCACAUACGUAGCUUGGAAUUGUCCUGUGGACACACUUUUCAAAAAGAAAAAAAACAUGAAAUAAAUUUCAAUAAUACAGUCUGUUUAACCCAAUAUGUCUAGAAUAUUGUAAUUUUUCAUUGCUUCAGACAAAUAAUAAAAUAGUAUCAUUUCAUUUUGAUCAAUAUAAAA
rnacentral:lncRNA from 1 species